CGCCCAGCGAGGUGGUCAGUCUCUACAAAUCCAACAACAUCGCGAGGAUGAGACUCUACGAUCCAAACCAAGCCGCCCUGCAAGCCCUCAGGAACUCCAACAUCCAAGUCCUGUUGGAUGUCCCCCGAUCCGACGUGCAGUCACUGGCCUCCAAUCCUUCGGCCGCCGGCGACUGGAUCCGGAGGAACGUCGUCGCCUACUGGCCCAGCGUCUCCUUUCGAUACAUAGCUGUCGGAAACGAGCUGAUCCCCGGAUCGGAUCUGGCGCAGUACAUCCUCCCCGCCAUGCGCAACAUCUACAAUGCUUUGUCCUCGGCUGGCCUGCAAAACCAGAUCAAGGUCUCGACCGCGGUCGACACGGGCGUCCUCGGCACGUCCUACCCUCCCUCCGCCGGCGCCUUCUCCUCCGCCGCCCAGGCGUACCUGAGCCCCAUCGUGCAGUUCUUGGCGAGUAACGGAGCGCCGCUCCUGGUCAAUGUGUACCCUUAUUUUAGCUACACCGGCAACCCGGGACAGAUCUCGCUGCCCUACGCCCUGUUCACGGCCUCCGGCGUCGUCGUGCAGGAUGGGCGAUUCAGCUAUCAGAACCUGUUCGACGCCAUCGUCGACGCGGUCUUCGCGGCGCUGGAGAGAGUGGGAGGGGCGAACGUGGCGGUGGUGGUGUCGGAGAGCGGGUGGCCGUCGGCGGGCGGAGGAGCCGAAGCGAGCACCAGCAACGCGCGGACGUACAACCAGAACUUGAUCAGGCAUGUUGGCGGAGGAACGCCGAGGAGACCAGGGAAGGAGAUCGAGGCGUAC
rnacentral:lncRNA from 1 species